rnacentral:rRNA from 1 species
GCCUACGGAGGCAGCCGUAGGGGAUCUUCCACAGUUUGUGAAGGCCUGAUGGAGCAACGCCGCGUGGGUGAAGAAGGUCUUCGGAUCGUAAAACCCUGUUGUUAGAGAAGAAAGUGCGUGAGAGUAACUGUUCACGUUUCGACGGUAUCUAACCAGAAAGCCACGGCUAACUACGUGCCAGCAGCCGCGGUAAUACGUAGGUGGCAAGCGUUAUCCGGAUUUAUUGGGCGUAAAGGGAACGCAGGCGGUCUUUUAAGUCUGAUGUGAAAGCCUUCGGCUUAACCGGAGUAGUGCAUUGGAAACUG